GAGGCUUUUCGAGAAAUCCGGGGAUUGCUGUUUGAGGCCCCCAAGGCUUCAUGUGGUGAGAACCGGCUUAAUCGAAAAGCCUUGGAACCGGGCAAAAGUCGUAACAAGGUAGCUGUAGGUGAACCUGCUGCUGGAUCAUUA
rnacentral:rRNA from 1 species